rnacentral:rRNA from 1 species
UACAGAGACGGCAAGCGUUGUUCGGAUUUACUGGGCGUAAAGCGCACGUAGGCGGCUUUCUAGGUCGGGGGUGAAAUCCUGGAGCUCAACUCCAGAACUGCCCUUGAUACUGGCGAUCUCGAGUCCGGGAGAGGUGAGUGGAACUGCGAGUGUAGAGGUGAAAUUCGUAGAUAUUCGCAGGAACACCAGUGGCGAAGGCGGCUCACUGGCCCGGUACUGACGCUGAUGUGCGAAAGCGUGGGAGCAACAGGGAUUAAGAAACCGUGUACGUACCAG